UAAAGUGUGUAAACAAAUGUGUGUGUGUGUGUGUGUGUGUGUGUGUGUGUGUGUGUGUGUGUACACGGUGUCCUGUUUAGGGUGUGUUCAUGUCUCAUACCCAGUGUUCCUGGAAUAGGUUCCGGAUUCACAGCAACCCUGACCAGCAUAAAGACGUUAAUGAAGUUGUGCUAACAUGCUAAGCUGUCUGAAACCCAGUGAACUGACCGGUUCCGGAUGAGCAGCUCGCGGUCUCUCGGCGUCGGAACCGGACAUGUCUGCACGAAAACAGCUUCACGGAAGUUGGGGCUCCGCUUCGUUACCAUCAUCUUCUUCAUACUGCUCGGUAUUGACGAGCGUUUAUCAUCCAUAAAGUGAUGUGAAUAGGACAUGUCGAUAAUAAAACGCUUUUGAAAACGCGUCUGAAAAACCCAGCGACACCUGGGCACAGAUUUACACAUCAGCCUAACAGACAUGUUUACACCACGG